UGUUUUUUCAGAUGGACAUGCCAGCUUUGUGAAAAUGGUGGUGUGUCAUGUUAAUGGAGAAUUUUGACCUUGGAAGCCAUGGCAAAAAGUUUACCCACUGGACAGAGACAUCAAAAGACCAACAGCGAGAUGAGGUGCCACCAGUGUUCAGACUGAAGAAGCAGAAGCUGGAUGAAAUCACUGAGGAAGGAGUGAAGCUGAAGAUUUUACACGACAGCAAAAAGGCAGCAGAAUGGGUUUAAGCCAACCAGCAGGUGUUCAAAGCUAAAGUGGAGUUUCCAGAUGUGCUGCGUGUGGGGGAAGAGGAACAGGCAGAGGCUGCGCAGCAGUACGGACAGAUUUGGGCUGAAGGAACAAACCAGAGUCUGGAUGAACAUGACGGGAUUCUCUCAUGGAGCCGUUCAAGUUUGUUUUUUUACCACAAUGAAAACGUGGAAGUUCUGUGAGGAAAUUAUAGACACACACAAGGAAAUGGGGCAUAUUUUUAAUGCUGAAGAGGCGAUGACAAAUAAAAAUCAAUGGAACAGGAUUAGACAACUGCGAAUAAAGGGCAACAGAACAUUUGA